rnacentral:rRNA from 1 species
AGCGAACGCUGGCGGCAGGCUUAACACAUGCAAGUCGAGCGGGCACUUCGGUGUCAGCGGCAGACGGGUGAGUAACACGUGUGAACGUACCCUUUGGUUCGGAAUAACGCUGGGAAACUAGCGCUAAUACCGGAUACGCCCUUUUGGGGAAAGGCUUGCUGCCGAAGGAUCGGCCCGCGUCUGAUUAGCUAGUUGGUGGGGUAAUGGCCUACCAAGGCGACGAUCAGUAGCUGGUCUGAGAGGAUGAUCAGCCACACUGGGACUGAGACACGGCCCAGACUCCUACGGGAGGCAGCAGUGGGGAAUAUUGGACAAUGGGCGCAAGCCUGAUCCAGCCAUGCCGCGUGAGUGAUGAAGGCCUUAGGGUUGUAAAGCUCUUUUGUCCGGGACGAUAAUGACGGUACCGGAAGAAUAAGCCCCGGCUAACUUCGUG